GUGCUCACUUUGGCAACACAUUUACUAACAUUGGAAAGAUACAGAGAAGAUUAGCAUGGCCCCUGUGCAAGGGUGACAUGCAAACUCAUGAAGUGUUCCAUAUUAAA